GACGGAAGGUGCAAGCGUUGCUCGGAAUCACUGGGCGUAAAGGGUGCGUAGGCGGCUUGGUAAGUUGGGUGUGAAAGCCCCGGGCUCAGCCCGGGAAGGGCACUCGAAACUGCCGAGCUGGAGUGCCGGAGGGGAGAGUGGAAUUCCUGGUGUAGCGGUGAAAUGCGUAGAUAUCAGGAGGAACACCGAUGGCGAAGGCAGCUCGCUGGGACGGUACUGACGCUGAGGCGCGAAAGCGUGGGGAGCAAACAGG
rnacentral:rRNA from 1 species